rnacentral:rRNA from 1 species
UGCAGGGUUCCUACAUGCAAACGCAAAGGAAUGGACGGUCAGACUCCUGGAGGAGUAAACAAACGGUUGCAUUUAACACCUGCGACUAAUGACGGUACCUUCAGAAGAAGCACCGGCUAACUACGUGCCAGCAGCCGCGGUAAUACGUAGGGUGCGAGCGUUAAUCGGAAUUACUGGGCGUAAAGCGUGCGCAGGCGGUUUUGUAAGUCAGAUGUGAAAGCCCCGGGCUCAACCUGGGAACUGCGUUUGAAACUACAAGGCUAGAGUGUAGCAGAGGGGGGUAGAAUUCCACGUGUAGCAGUGAAAUGCGUAGAGAUGUGGAGGAAUACCGAUGGCGAAGGCAGCCCCCUGGGUUAACACUGACGCUCAUGUACGAAAGCGUGGGGAGCAAACAGGAUUAGAUACCCUGGUAGUCCACGCCCUAAACGAUGUCAACUAGUUGUCGGGAGAGGAGACUUUCUUGGUAACGCAGCUAACGCGUGAAGUUGACCGCCUGGGGAGUACGGCCGCCAGGUUAAAACUCAAA